AGUCGGCGUGCCUUGCAGCUGUUGGCUUGACCCCAGGCCGGGACGGGCAGAGCGGAACACUGCCCGGCGGGUCCAGGCCGACCGUGCCUGUGGCUCUCCGGAACAAUAAACCCCCGGCCCCAGUGAUGUGGGCCAGACCGGACCUGGAGAGGCGGCACCGCGACCCCUCCCGCAACCCGCCUGGCGGCCGGGGGCAGCGUGACCCGGCCCGCUACCGUGUCACAGCUGGCGACUGACAAACAGCAGGCGACGUCGGGAGAACUCCCCGAGACACCCGAGACAUCAGCCUUCUCGCUCCGCGGCCCUGCAGGACCUGCCCGCCGGGAGCCCCGGAGUCCGCGGCAGCGCCGAGGGCCCCUCCCCCAGGCCUCUGGGCUCUGAGGCUCAUCCAUGGAAUACCAAUUCUUUUUCUUAGUGUUCACAUUGGAUUUUUCUGUUAAAAAUAGAUUGUUGGAGUUGGCUAACAAGUUGAUUACUUCCAGUCAGGCACUCUCUUCUGUAAAGUCUCUUUUGUAAACUCCUACAAGCAGCUAUUUCACUGGAUUUGAAAAGACUGACUAAAAAGAACCAUGCACUGUAACUCUCAAGUAUACAGGAAUAUUGUUAUUAGGUCACAGUGAGCCGAGAUCAUGCCACUCCACUCCAGCCUGGGUGACAGAGCAAGACUCCAUUUCAAAAAAAAAAAAAACUGAAAAUACCAAAUAUUGACAAGGAUUUGGAGCAAGUGGAACCCUCAUACAUUGCUGAUGGAAAUGCAAAAUUAUACAGCCAAUUUGGAAAAAUAACUGGGUGUGGUGGUGUGCACCUAUUUUUCCAACAACU
rnacentral:lncRNA from 10 species